UAUCUCAUUAAGGCUAUUUUUGACUUUUCAGAAAAAAAGAUGAGGUGCAAGAUACACUUUAGAGUGUAGGAUUCAAAAGAGCUAGUUCGUUUCUUCUUUUGUUCUUCUUCUUCACCUUAGCGAGAGAGAAACCCUAAUUCGUUGCUUUCAUUCUAUUUGCUACAAUCGAAACCCCCAAUUUUUAUAAUACGGGUGAUGUACAUUCUAUGAUUCAGAGUUUUGGUUGAAGGUUCACUUGUAUUGUUUGCCAUCAUGGAUCCCAAUGAUGAUAGGGGUGAAAGUAGACUCUAUAUUGGUAACCUUGAUCUUAGAAUUACAGAAGCUGCUUUGCUUAAAAUGUUUUCUCCCUAUGGAAAGAUAAUUUCUGAGGACUUCUUAUGGCACACGCGUGGCCCAAAACGUGGGGAGCCACGUGGUUUUGCUUUUAUCCAGUAUAGCACAAAAGAGUGAGAAUGCAGGAAGCAGAAUUAGCCAAGGAGAAAAUGCAUGGGAGGUUAGCUUGCAGCCGGCCAUUGGUGGUUCGUCUUGCCGGUGAUAAGUGCAUGUUGGAAACAGUUGAUAGCUCUACAAAAGCAGCUGGUGAAGGGCACAAGAUGCAUCUCACUGGUGGUGGUGGUGCCAUGGGACAAACAAGUCGCAGUGCAAAAAUUGCCGCUAUAAAAAACAAAUUGAAAUCCUUAGAGGAGGAGAGUUCUAGGACCAAGAAGCAGAAGCAAAGUGAUAAUAUUUCUUGAGUCAAUUGUGCAAGUAUAUAAUAUGCAGAAUCAAGGGAUAAUUCAAUGGUGUAUGAAUUGAAAUGUGGUGCAAUUGUUUGUACCCAUUCAAUUGGAAUUCACUUAUUUAGAUAAGCCUUUUUUUUAUAUAUAUAUAAUUUAGGCCAUUAGCCAGAAUUGUAACUGCCGAAGCAUACUAUCCAUCUGAAAUUCUCCAAAUUGAAUUUAACUGCUGAAUUUCUGUUUUACUUUGA